GGUUCAGCAUGGUGCAGUGGUUUGAAUGUUGGAAUAGGACUCCAGAAGACCAGGGUUUGAAUCCCUGCUCAGCCA